AUUUUCUUGUUAUUAUUUGCUUAUUUGUUUUCAGAGACAGGGUCUCACUCUGUCAACCAGCCUGGAGUGCAGUUUGCCAGGAACUCAGCUCACUGCAACCUCCACCUCUGGGGCUCAACUGAUUCUCCUACCUCAGCCUCCCGAGUACCUGGGACUACAGGCAUGUGCCACCAUGCACGGCUAUGUUUCUUUGUUUUGUUUUGUUUUUAGAGAUAGAGCUGUACCAUGUUGCCCAGGCUGAUCUCAAACUCAUGGGCUCAAGUGAUCCACCAGCCUUGUGGGCUCAACUGAUCCACCAGCCUUCGCCUCCAAAGUGUUGAGAUUACAGGCGUGAGCCACCACACCCAGCCUGAAAUGUUUUCAUCUUUAUCUAUGCCUUGAUCUCCACAACUCCUCUCCUGCAAUGCAUAUUUAAAGUACUUGCUACUUCAAGAGGAAGUAUGCAACCCACAUUCCUUGCUAAAAGGAAAAAGAAGAUAAGGAAAACUAGACACUGACAGGAUUGUAUGAGUCUUUAUAAACCUCAUAAGAAGCACAGGUGAUGGAAAUUAGAGUCCUGCUUAAAAAAUACAGAUGUUCUGGAAUAUCAAGCAACAAUUUCAAGCUUUCACACUUCUGGAUUGAAACACAGUUUAAAGAGGGAAUAAAAACCUGAAGAAAGAGCCACAGGACUGGACUGAGCUAAGGCAUGUUAAUAGCCAUGUUCUAGAGAAACGAUCUAUGAACUCCUCUGCUGAGGUCCCCACACCUGUCCUUGUUCUCUUUCUUCCCGAGGCUGAGUGUCUUUCCUGCUGUUCUGUGAUGCUUUUGCAACACUAAUGAAUAAAUCUCUCUCCAGGAAUUGUUUUCUUUUUCAUGAAACACCUCUCUCCUCCCUUAUCUCACCACAAAAAAGUAAAAAAAUAAAAGAAUAUUUAAUGUUCAGAAUCCACAAGUUAUUGAAACAAAGCUCCUUAUACAUUUCUCUCUUACCAUCAAGAAGUUCGCUAGCACUUUAUUCCUUAUUUUUAAUAAAUAUAUUAAUAUUAUGAGUCACCUUGAAUCUUUAUUGGAAAUAAGUUUUCCAUUCUGGAUUACUUAUAAUGAUCAAAGGCUGAAAACAGGGUUUGAGAUCUGUCAAACACUAUUUAAUGAUCAGCUAAGAAACAGAAGAUUCAUUUAAAAGAGUUUUGCUGAGUGUCUAUGUUAUG
rnacentral:lncRNA from 1 species